rnacentral:lncRNA from 1 species
AUCAGUUCAUAUAAUCAGUUUAUGCAGUCAGUUCAUCAGUUUAUAAAUAAGUUUUUUUUUUCCCUUGCUUUUUUCUAUAGUCUUUGUAAUCCCCUGCAAUAAAAAAAAUGACCACAUGGUGCGUUGUUCAGUUCAGAAGUGGGGCAACUGAAAUUGUGCCAAACUCAUGGGUUGAAGGAGAUAAAGUCUUCUGGCCCCCAUACCCUCCUAAGGACUCUAUUAGGCUGAAUGCAGCCAUCCUGAAUAGAGAGCAGCCUGGUCAGGGAUGGCACACAUACCAGCCUAUCCGUCUCCUCAUAACUCGUGAUAGUCAUGAUGAGGCAGCGAGGAGCCUGGACAGAUAUCUCAAUAAAGAUUGUGACACCACUGACAUCCAGUCUGAGGAGGAGAGCCACCAUGCCCUGAAAAGAAAAAGAAGACCGAAUCCAGUUUAUCACUCAGACGAGGAGCCCCAGAAUGAGCGCAGAUUCACCAAAGCCCCAAAAGUGUUAUUUCCAGCGACCCAACUAGCCAGUCAGAACAGCCAACCAUCACCACCUCCACGAAUCUAUCAGACCCUCCAACGCCCCAAUUCCCCCAUGUUGUCUUACCCCAAUGUCCCAGCAUCGUUCCCUGGAGAUGAAUUGGUGUUCUCUCCAAUGAAUUUACUCCAGAGGCCAUCUCCUGAAGUUGUUUCAGAUUCUUCAGAAACUGUCAGGUUGGCAUUAAAAGAUGUGGCUACUCAAAAACUUCUUACUGCAGUGACAGAGCUGUCCAAGGAGGUGAAGGACCUGUGGGAGGAAUUUAGGCAAUUCCACCAGUCCUGCAGGUGUGGACAAUUGGAGUCUGUGGUACAGCCACUGUCGGAGCCCUUGGAGCUGCCCUUCCACACCAUGGAGGCCCUGGACCAUGCAGAAGAGACACUGUUAAAUGGCACAAACCGACAGGCAAUGACUGCUCGUCUCGCCACCAUUGGAGGGACUACCCUAGAGGUGAGGGUCCGCCGUAUGAUGGCACACCUGUUGUCGAAUGAACUGGCUUCAAGACUGAACUGGGCUGGAAAAAAGAACAAGGAGCCUACCAAACAAAAACGUCCCUUUAAAGAGUUGGCACUCUGCCGAUCUUUGUUUGGUGCAGAGCGGACAACGCAUCACGACACCGUCACAGCAGAUGACCUACUAACCCGGAACAACACUUCUUCUUCUUCUUCUUCUUCUUCUUCCUUGAUGUUUAACGGCGGUUGGCAUCCAACUUCAAUGGUGCAUUACCGCCACCUACUGUACUGGAGUGUGAACCGGAGCUAGACAAAGAGAAACUAAAACUAAAAUGGAGACUCCAACUCUCUUCCCCACCCUUUAAUUAAUAAUUAAAAAAAUAAAAAUAAAUU